rnacentral:rRNA from 1 species
ACCUGCCCUAAGGUCCGGCAUAACCCCGGGAAACUGGGGAUAAUUCCGGAUAAAUCAUAGAUACUGGAAUGUUCUGUGGUUAAAAGCUCCGGUGCCUUAGGAUGGAUCUGCGGCCUAUCAGGUAGUAGUGGGUGUAAUGUACCUACUAGCCGACGACGGGUACGGGUUGUGAGAGCAAGAGCCCGGAGAUGGAUUCUGAGACAUGAAUCCAGGCCCUACGGGGCGCAGCAGGCGCGAAAUCUUUACAAUGCGGGAAACCGCGAUAAGGGGACACCGAGUGCCAGCAUAUUAUGUUGGCUGUCCAUAUGUAUAAAUAACAUGUGAUAGCAAGGGCCGGGCAAGACCGGUGCCAGCCGCCGCGGUAACACCGGCGGCCCGAGUGGUAAUCACUAUUAUUGGGUCUAAAGGGUCCGUAGCCGGUUUGAUCAGUCUUCCGGGAAAUCUGACAGCUUAACUGUUAGGCUUCUGGGGGAUACUGUCAGACUUGGAACCGGGAGAGGUAAGAGGUACUACAGGGGUAGGAGUGAAAUCUUGUAAUCCUUGUGGGACCACCAGUGGCGAAGGCGUCUUACCAGAACGGGUUCGACGGUGAGGGACGAAAGCUGGGGGCACGAACCGGAUUAGAUACCCGGGUAGUCCCAGCCGUAAACGAUGCUCGCUAGGUGUCUGGGAUGGUGCGACCGUUUCAGGUGCCGCAGGGAAGCCGUGAAGCGAGCCACCUGGGAAGUACGGCCGCAAGGCUGAAACUUAAAGGAAUUGGCGGGGGAGCACUACAACGGGUGGAGCCUGCGGUUA